CACAACCGUUGCAGUAACGCCGUGGAGUCUUUGACGACUCAAGGAAACUUCAAGGAAGAGCAGCAGAAGGUGGCAGGCCUCACGAUCUGGGAACGUGGCUCCGGGAGACAUGGCCUUCCCGAGCUCGAGGUAAACGGCGUACGGAAGAGCGACUUCUGUGGAUCUGGGAUCAGCAGAGCUCGUCUUCGUGGCUCAGGUAGGCACAACCGUUGCAGUAACGCCGUGGAGUCUUUGACGACUCGAGGAAACUUCAAGGAAGAGCAGCAGAAGGUGGCAGGUUUCACGAUCUGGGAACGUUGCUCCGGGAGACACGGCCUUCGCGAGCUCGAGGUAAACAGCGGACGGAAGAGCGACUUCUGUGGAUCUGGGAUCAGCAGAGCUCGUCUUCGUGGCUCAGGGAGGCAUAGCCGUUGCAGUAACGCCGUGGAGUCUUUCACGACUCGAAGAAACUUCAAGGAAGAGCAGCAGAAGGUGGCAGGCCUCACGAUCUGGGAACGUGGCUCCGAGAGACACGGUCUUCGCGAGCACGAGGUAAACGGCGGACGGAAGAGCGACUUCUGUGGAUCUGGGAUCAGCAGAGCUCGUCUUCGUGGCUCAGGGAGGCAUAACCGUUGCAGUAACGCCGUGGAGUCUUUCACGACUCGAGGAAACUUCAAGGAAGAGCAGCAGAAGGUGGCAGGUUUCACGAUCUGGGAACGUGGCUCCGGGAGACACGGCCUUCGCGAGAUCGAGGUAAACAGCGGACGGAAGAGCGACUUCUGUGGAUCUGGGAUCAGCAGAACUCGUCUUCGUGGCUCAGGUAGGCACAACCGUUGCAGUAACGCCGUGUAGUCUUUGACGACUCGAGGAAACUUCAAGGAAGAGCAGCAGAAG